rnacentral:rRNA from 1 species
GGUUCAUUCAAAUUUCUGCCCUAUCAACUUUCGACGGCUGGGUCUUGGCCAGCCGUGGUGACAACGGGUAACGGAGGGUUAGGGCUCGACCCCGGAGAAGGAGCCUGAGAAACGGCUACUACAUCCAAGGAAGGCAGCAGGCGCGCAAAUUACCCAAUCCCGACCGGGGAGGUAGUGACAAUAAAUACUGAUACAGGGNCUUUUCGGGUCUUGUAAUUGGAAUGAGUACAAUUUAAAUCCCUUAACGAGGAACAAUUGGAGGGCAAGUCUGGUGCCAGCAAGCCGGGUAAUUCCAGCUCCAAUAGCGUAUAUUAAAGUUGUGAGGUUAAAAAGCUCGUAGUUG